AAACAACAGUCGUCUGCGAAGCUUCUGCUGUCGUCUGCAAAUAUUGACACGGUGAAAAGCAUCACCCAACCAUGAAGAUCCUUCUCCUGUUACUCCUCGUUGUUGCAUUGGCUGUAGCCGAUGCCAGAUACCAAUGGUUGGACGAUGAUAAUGA